rnacentral:rRNA from 1 species
AUACGUAGGGGGCGAGCGUUGUCCGGAAUGAUUGGGCGUAAAGGGCGCGUAGGCGGCCCGGUAAGUCUGGAGUGAAAGUCCUGUUUUUAAGAUGGGAAUUGCUUUGGGUACUGUCGGGCUUGAGUGCAGGAGAGGUAAGUGGAAUUCCCAGUGUAGCGGUGAAAUGCGUAGAGAUUGGGAGGAACACCAGUGGCGAAGGCGACUUACUGGACUGUAACUGACGCUGAGGCGCGAAAGUGUGGGGAGCAAACAGGAUUAGAUACCCUGGUAGUCCACACUGUAAACGAUGAAUGCUAGGUGUAGGGGGUAUCGACCCCUUCUGUGCCGCAGUCAACACAAUAAGCAUUCCGCCUGGGGAGUACGGCCGCAAGGUUGAAACUCAAAUGAAUUGACGGGG